rnacentral:rRNA from 1 species
UUUAUGGAGAGUUUGAUCCUGGCUCAGGAUGAACGCUGGCGGCGUGCCUAAUACAUGCAAGUCGAGCGAACGGACGAGAAGCUUGCUUCUCUGAUGUUAGCGGCGGACGGGUGAGUAACACGUGGAUAACCUACCUAUAAGACUGGGAUAACUUCGGGAAACCGGAGCUAAUACCGGAUAAUAUUUUGAACCGCAUGGUUCAAAAGUGAAAGACGGUCUUGCUGUCACUUAUAGAUGGAUCCGCGCUGCAUUAGCUAGUUGGUAAGGUAACGGCUUACCAAGGCAACGAUGCAUAGCCGACCUGAGAGGGUGAUCGGCCACACUGGAACUGAGACACGGUCCAGACUCCUACGGGAGGCAGCAGUAGGGAAUCUUCCGCAAUGGGCGAAAGCCUGACGGAGCAACGCCGCGUGAGUGAUGAAGGUCUUCGGAUCGUAAAACUCUGUUAUUAGGGAAGAACAUAUGUGUAAGUAACUGUGCACAUCUUGACGGUACCUAAUCAGAAAGCCACGGCUAACUACGUGCCAGCAGCCGCGGUAAUACGUAGGUGGCAAGCGUUAUCCGGAAUUAUUGGGCGUAAAGCGCGCGUAGGCGGUUUUUUAAGUCUGAUGUGAAAGCCCACGGCUCAACCGUGGAGGGUCAUUGGAAACUGGAAAACUUGAGUGCAGAAGAGGAAAGUGGAAUUCCAUGUGUAGCGGUGAAAUGCGCAGAGAUAUGGAGGAACACCAGUGGCGAAGGCGACUUUCUGGUCUGUAACUGACGCUGAUGUGCGAAAGCGUGGGGAUCAAACAGGAUUAGAUACCCUGGUAGUCCACGCCGUAAACGAUGAGUGCUAAGUGUUAGGGGGUUUCCGCCCCUUAGUGCUGCAGCUAACGCAUUAAGCACUCCGCCUGGGGAGUACGACCGCAAGGUUGAAACUCAAAGGAAUUGACGGGGACCCGCACAAGCGGUGGAGCAUGUGGUUUAAUUCGAAGCAACGCGAAGAACCUUACCAAAUCUUGACAUCCUUUGACCGCUCUAGAGA